rnacentral:rRNA from 1 species
GGUUAAGCGACUAAGCGUACACGGUGGAUGCCCUGGCAGUCAGAGGCGAUGAAGGACGUGCUAAUCUGCGAUAAGCGUCGGUAAGGUGAUAUGAACCGUUAUAACCGGCGAUUUCCGAAUGGGGAAACCCAGUGUGAUUCGUCACACUAUCAUUAACUGAAUCCAUAGGUUAAUGAGGCGAACCGGGGGAACUGAAACAUCUAAGUACCCCGAGGAAAAGAAAUCAACCGAGAUUCCCCCAGUAGCGGCGAGCGAACGGGGAGCAGCCCAGAGCCUGAAUCAGUGUGUGUGUUAGUGGAAGCGUCUGGAAAGGCGCGCGAUACAGGGUGACAGCCCCGUACACAAAAAUGCACAUGCUGUGAGCUCGAUGAGUAGGGCGGGACACGUGGUAUCCUGUCUGAAUAUGGGGGGACCAUCCUCCAAGGCUAAAUACUCCUGACUGACCGAUAGUGAACCAGUACCGUGAGGGAAAGGCGAAAAGAACCCCGGCGAGGGGAGUGAAAAAGAACCUGAAACCGUGUACGUACAAGCAGUGGGAGCACGCUUAGGCGUGUGACUGCGUACCUUUUGUAUAAUGGGUCAGCGACUUAUAUUCUGUAGCAAGGUUAACCGAAUAGGGGAGCCGAAGGGAAACCGAGUCUUAACUGGGCGUUAAGUUGCAGGGUAUAGACCCGAAACCCGGUGAUCUAGCCAUGGGCAGGUUGAAGGUUGGGUAACACUAACUGGAGGACCGAACCGACUAAUGUUGAAAAAUUAGCGGAUGACUUGUGGCUGGGGGUGAAAGGCCAAUCAAACCGGGAGAUAGCUGGUUCUCCCCGAAAGCUAUUUAGGUAGCGCCUCGUGAAUUCAUCUCCGGGGGUAGAGCACUGUUUCGGCAAGGGGGUCAUCCCGACUUACCAACCCGAUGCAAACUGCGAAUACCGGAGAAUGUUAUCACGGGAGACACACGGCGGGUGCUAACGUCCGUCGUGAAGAGGGAAACAACCCAGACCGCCAGCUAAGGUCCCAAAGUCAUGGUUAAGUGGGAAACGAUGUGGGAAGGCCCAGACAGCCAGGAUGUUGGCUUAGAAGCAGCCAUCAUUUAAAGAAAGCGUAAUAGCUCACUGGUCGAGUCGGCCUGCGCGGAAGAUGUAACGGGGCUAAACCAUGCACCGAAGCUGCGGCAGCGACGCUGAUGCGUUGUUGGGUAGGGGAGCGUUCUGUAAGCCUGCGAAGGUGUGCUGUGAGGCAUGCUGGAGGUAUCAGAAGUGCGAAUGCUGACAUAAGUAACGAUAAAGCGGGUGAAAAGCCCGCUCGCCGGAAGACCAAGGGUUCCUGUCCAACGUUAAUCGGGGCAGGGUGAGUCGACCCCUAAGGCGAGGCCGAAAGGCGUAGUCGAUGGGAAACAGGUUAAUAUUCCUGUACUUGGUGUUACUGCGAAGGGGGGACGGAGAAGGCUAUGUUGGCCGGGCGACGGUUGUCCCGGUUUAAGCGUGUAGGCUGGUUUUCCAGGCAAAUCCGGAAAAUCAAGGCUGAGGCGUGAUGACGAGGCACUACGGUGCUGAAGCAACAAAUGCCCUGCUUCCAGGAAAAGCCUCUAAGCAUCAGGUAACAUCAAAUCGUACCCCAAACCGACACAGGUGGUCAGGUAGAGAAUACCAAGGCGCUUGAGAGAACUCGGGUGAAGGAACUAGGCAAAAUGGUGCCGUAACUUCGGGAGAAGGCACGCUGAUAUGUAGGUGAAGUCCCUCGCGGAUGGAGCUGAAAUCAGUCGAAGAUACCAGCUGGCUGCAACUGUUUAUUAAAAACACAGCACUGUGCAAACACGAAAGUGGACGUAUACGGUGUGACGCCUGCCCGGUGCCGGAAGGUUAAUUGAUGGGGUUAGCGCAAGCGAAGCUCUUGAUCGAAGCCCCGGUAAACGGCGGCCGUAACUAUAACGGUCCUAAGGUAGCGAAAUUCCUUGUCGGGUAAGUUCCGACCUGCACGAAUGGCGUAAUGAUGGCCAGGCUGUCUCCACCCGAGACUCAGUGAAAUUGAACUCGCUGUGAAGAUGCAGUGUACCCGCGGCAAGACGGAAAGACCCCGUGAACCUUUACUAUAGCUUGACACUGAACAUUGAGCCUUGAUGUGUAGGAUAGGUGGGAGGCUUUGAAGUGUGGACGCCAGUCUGCAUGGAGCCGACCUUGAAAUACCACCCUUUAAUGUUUGAUGUUCUAACGUUGACCCGUAAUCCGGGUUGCGGACAGUGUCUGGUGGGUAGUUUGACUGGGGCGGUCUCCUCCUAAAGAGUAACGGAGGAGCACGAAGGUUGGCUAAUCCUGGUCGGACAUCAGGAGGUUAGUGCAAUGGCAUAAGCCAGCUUGACUGCGAGCGUGACGGCGCGAGCAGGUGCGAAAGCAGGUCAUAGUGAUCCGGUGGUUCUGAAUGGAAGGGCCAUCGCUCAACGGAUAAAAGGUACUCCGGGGAUAACAGGCUGAUACCGCCCAAGAGUUCAUAUCGACGGCGGUGUUUGGCACCUCGAUGUCGGCUCAUCACAUCCUGGGGCUGAAGUAGGUCCCAAGGGUAUGGCUGUUCGCCAUUUAAAGUGGUACGCGAGCUGGGUUUAGAACGUCGUGAGACAGUUCGGUCCCUAUCUGCCGUGGGCGCUGGAGAAUUGAGGGGGGCUGCUCCUAGUACGAGAGGACCGGAGUGGACGCAUCACUGGUGUUCGGGUUGUCAUGCCAAUGGCACUGCCCGGUAGCUAAAUGCGGAAGAGAUAAGUGCUGAAAGCAUCUAAGCACGAAACUUGCCCCGAGAUGAGUUCUCCCUGACUCCUUGAGAGUCCUGAAGGAACGUUGAAGACGACGACGUUGAUAGGCCGGGUGUGUAAGCGCAGCGAUGCGUUGAGCUAACCGGUACUAAUGAACCGUGAGGCUUAACCUU